GGAUCGGUGAAAACCACGUGAUCAUCCACGAGAGCGGUCCAGAGUCGCUGAGAUAACCAGAACUGCAGAUACCACAGACUCUGAGAUAACAUGGUGUGCAGCUGGAUGAACACAGCAGGUCAAGCAGCAUCAGAGGAGCAGGAAAGCUGACGUUUCGGGCCUAGCUCCUUCGCUGAGACCAAGAUUUGUGCAAUUGAGAUACCAGCGAUCGUUGCCAAAGCCCUGUUCCCUGUGGAGAAGGUGAUAUUUAACUUUCGUGUGCUGCUGCAGUUCGUAUGAUGAAGGUGCUCCCACAAUGCGGUCAUUUGAGAAGUUACAGAUCGGUCAUCUAGCGAUACUGAAGAGCUGAUGGAUAUUACAAGUGGACUUUCAGGUGGGAUGCUCAAUAAUUGUAACACGAAACUGACAGAAUUACUUAAUUUAUCAGCACCUGGAUAUUUGCAUUGUGUAUUUUCACAAUUUUACUUCUGCACUAUUCUUAGUCUUUCAGAGGGAUCGAACGAUUGAGCUACAGAUCUAUACAAUGACUGUCCUUCCUCCCUGGCUCUCCCACCUCUCUCUCUUUUGGUAGUUUUAUGCAAACAUUGACUGGAUCCCUUACCUGGAGCAUAUUUGUGAGUGAAUUUGUUCUGAUGGUGAUCCAGCAUAUUCCCCAAGUGUUGCUCUACAAAAUCCAGAGAAUUUUUCAGUUUCAUAAUCUGUGUGUCCUUCUUAUUUCUUACUCGCUGCACUUACUUUCUGUUUGAAAGUAUAGUCUGCCAUUGGAGAAUUUAAACAGGUCCACAUCCAGGUCUGAUGGUCACUUUGUUUAUCACAACACAAUUAUCUCAGGAUUUUGAACAUUGAAGGAAAAAGCAGCACUCACAUUGGGGAGAAGCGCACAUGGUCUGAGAAGAGUCUGUGAAGAUUCAUCUGAAAUGUCUGAACACCAGUGCAGUGACACUGGGGAGAGACUGUGGAAAUGUGCAGAUUGCAGGAAGGAAUUUCUUCAUCCAUCCCAGCUCGAAACGGACCAUCAGAGUCACACUGGAGAGAGACCAUUGUCCUGUUCUGCGUGAGGGAAAGGCUUUGCUGACUCGAAUUCCCCGCUGAUACACCAGCGUGUUCACUCUGGGGAGAGACCUUUCAUGAGCUCUGAGUGUGGGAAGGGAUUUAUUGUCAUUCAAACUGUUAACACACCAGCAAGUUCACAGACAACCACAGUUGAAGAACUUUGCUGUCACUCUCACUGUCAAAUGAACCAUGGUUUUGGGCUAUUUGUACUGAUGUUCCUGAUCCCUGCUCAAUUAAAGGUGCUGGUAUUGUAACAGUUGUGUAAGGUAGAGCUUGGAAAUAGUCACAUUGUCACAAAUCAUUCACACUGACUAAAGACUAUCCAUUUGCACGGUAUGUGAAAAGGGAUUUUCUGGUUCAUCAGGACUGGUUAACUACCAGCAAAUUUCUGAAUUAGUUGAUUGGUUUGAAUAUAGCUAACAGUAGAAUCAAAAAUAGUAUCAGUGAUAAUGGGAACUGCAGAUGCUGGAGAAUCCAGAAUAACAACGUGUGGAGCUGGAUGAACACAGCAGGCCAACCAGCAUCUCAGGAGCACAAAAGCUGAUGUUUCGGGCCUCGAGAAGGGUCUCGGCCUGAAACAUCAGCUUUUGUGCGCCUGAGAUGCUGCUUGGCCUGCUAUGUUCAUCCAGCUCCACACGUUGUUAUAGCAGACUCAAGAAUACCAUGUUUUGGGCUUGUUUCUGGAGAUCAUAGAAUCCCUCCCGUGUGGGAGCAGACCAUUUAGCCCAUCGAGUCCAGACUGAAAUUACGAAGAGUGUCAAACCCAGACAGUGUCUGCGUGAGUUUCCUCCAGGUGGUCUGGUUUCCUCCCACAGUCCAAAAAUGUGCAAAUUAUGUAGAUUGACAAUGCUAAAUUGCCCAUCGUAUCUUGUAUGCAAAAUGCAGGGCUAGGGUAGGGUUUGAGACUGGUUGGGAUGCUCUUUGGAGGGUUGGUAUUGACUGAAUGGUCAUCAUCCACGCUGGAGGAAUUAUGAUGGUCUCAAUGGCCCUUCAUUUGUUAGGUAGGUCUGCACGCCUUUACAAUGACGGAUUCUGUUGUUCUCCACAGACAUUUGUUUAUUGGAAACAAAUGUAAUCUUUCAUUUUGUGGAUAAAAAUCCAAGGAAAGUUUUAAAUCCAAACAUCGGAUUGGGAUGAGUCAUGUCCUAUAAUUCCUGAUUGCAUUUUCCCAGUCGGCUAUGAAACCUGGUGACCCUUGUGACUCUGUCUGGGCGCGUUGUAGUCUCUUCAGCUCUUUACCUGGUGUCCAGAGCAGUGAUGGAUCUCAUGAUUAAAAACAUAAACCAA